rnacentral:tRNA from 1 species
GCGCCACUGGUGUAGUGGUAUCAUGCAAGAUUCCAAUUCUUGUGACUCGGGUUCGAUUCCCGGGCGGCGCA